GCGUUACUCCGAGACAUGGGAUUCCUACCCCGUCUUCGGUGCGCACUGCCCCGUCUCGAUGCCGAAGUACGCACCGAAGACGAAGGAGGAGACGACGAGGGGGACGGGGACGGGGUUGAUUAUAUCCUUGUAGAAGAUCCGCAGACGGUUGGCGCUGGCGACGGCGGCGGCAAUGAGGGUGCCUCGGCUUCGGCUCGAGCAGAUUAGGCGAAGAAGAAGUGGAAUCGACGGUUGAACACCGGAAGGAGGAGAUGGAGGAGGAGACGAAGGAGGAGACGACGAGGGGGACGAGGACGGGGUUGAGUACAUCCUUAUAGAAGAUUCGCACGGGGUUGGCGCUAGCGACAGCGGCAGCGAUGAGGGUGCCUUGGCUUCGGCUCGAGCGGGAUUGGGCGAAGAAGAAGUGGAAUCGAGGGUUGAACGGCUGGGAGGAGGAGAUGGAGGAGGAGGAGGAGGAGGAGAGGCGUGUUCUUCUUUGGGUAGAUUUGGGGCUGAUUCUGAGGGGAGCCAGUGUAGUCGAGGCGAGAUCGACGAUCUCUUUUUGCCCUAUAUGCAUGAAAGCUUGGACCGAUGACGGUGAUCAUCACAUCUGUUUUCUUCCUUGUGGACACAUUUAUGGCAUGUCUUGCAUCAAGAGAUGGUUAAAGAAAAAGGGGGACUCAGGCAAGGUUUUUACUAUCCCUUUUGUUAGUAAAUGUUCUCUGAUCGGUCAGGGCACUCUUAUUGCAUAUGCUUAUGCUUAUUCUUCUCUCUCUUAGUGUCCUCAAUGCGACGGUAAGUGCAAACUGAAAGAUGUGAGGAAACUUUUUGCAACACGCCUUGUGACCGUAUAUGAGGAGUUGCAAAAGAAAAUCCGAUUCCUUGAGGCCAAAUGUGCUUCUCUUGAGAAGGUAGAGAUGAUUGCCAGAAAAUUCUAAGUUAGAUGAUUGUGUUGUAGGGUAUGCCUACUUGUCGUUGUUCAUAAUUCUCUUAACUUUACCAAAAUGUUCAAUUUUCUUACUUAUUACAAUCUGCAAUGUGAUCGA